GAACGAACGCUGGCGGCAGGCUUAACACAUGCAAGUCGAACGCGUGUAGCAAUACACGAGUGGCGCACGGGUGAGUAACGCGUGGAUAUCUGCCUUUUGGUUCGGAAUAACCCCGGGAAACUGGGGCUAAUACCGGAUGGUUCCUACGGGAUAAAGAUUUAUCGCCAAAAGAUGAGUCCGCGUACGAUUAGCUAGUUGGUGAGGUAAUGGCUCACCAAGGCGACGAUCGUUAGCUGGUCUGAGAGGACGAUCAGCCACACUGGGACUGAGACACGGCCCAGACUCCUACGGGAGGCAGCAGUGGGGAAUAUUGGACAAUGGGGGCAACCCUGAUCCAGCCAUGCCGCGUGAGUGAUGAAGGCCUCGGGUUGUAAAGCUCUUUUGGCGGGACGAUGAUGACGUACCCG
rnacentral:rRNA from 1 species